AAACUUGCUUCUGUUUAUGAUUUAAUGAGUCUCCCCAGUAUCACAAGUGCUGGCUUAGAUUGCCGAAAUCACAGAAGCCACAUGGAAUGUCCAACAGCGGAGGGAGUUAGGAUUCAAGAGUCUGUGGCUCUUAAGUAGUAGGCUAACAACAACUUGAUCGGAAAUUCUGUGCCUUGGAGGAAAUCAGGAGAUUGGAAUCUCCAUACAUCCAGAGAAACGUGAAGGGAAACCCCAAGGGUUGUCACACGCACUGGAGCAGUCAGAAGUUCAGUUGACAGAAUUCUAAAGACUUGGCAUGCGUUUUCUGAAAUAUUCUGCUGGGAACAAUGGAAUGCCAACAGAGUACUUCCUCCUUCAUGUCCGUGUGCUUCGUGGGAUAUCAGAACUCCAGUUCGAGAAGAAAGGGCUCAUAAUCAGGCCUCCCUGGAUGGAUCAGAGCUGCUUGAAAAUAUGAAGUACUUUCCUCGACUUUUUGGAUUCCUGGUUCCGGAUAACCGACACAUGGCUAACUAACAUCAGAGAACAGAUCUAUGGAAAAUGGGAUUAGACUGUUACUCAACACAUCUUUUAAAGCGGGAAAUGGGGGGCGCCUGG